UACGUAGGGAGCAAGCGUUGUCCGGAAUCACUGGGCGUAAAGGGCGCGUAGGCGGCUCGGUAAGUAGGGGGUGAAAUCCUGCGGCUUAACCGCAGGGCUGCCUUCUAAACUGUCGAGCUUGAGCACGGUAGAGGCAGAUGGAAUUCCCGGUGUAGCGGUGGAAUGCGUAGAGAUCGGGAAGAACACCGGUGGCGAAGGCGCUCUGCUAGGCCGCAACUGACACUGAGGGACGAAAGCUAGGGGAGCGAAUGGG
rnacentral:rRNA from 1 species